UACGGGGGGGGGUAAGCGUUGUUCGGAAUUACUGGGCGUAAAGGGCUCGUAGGCGGCCAACUAAGUCAUACAUGAAAUCCCUCAGCUUAACUGGGGGAACUGCGUGUGAUACUGGAUGGCUUGGAUUUGGGAGAGGGAUGCGGAAUUCCAGGUGUAGCGGUGAAAUGCGUAGAUAUCUGGAGGAACACCGGUGGCGAAGGCGGCAUCCUGGACCAUUACUGACGCUGAUCCGCGAAAGCUAGGGGAGCAAACGGG
rnacentral:rRNA from 1 species